UACGUAGGGUGCAAGCGUUAAUCGGAAUUACUGGGCGUAAAGCGUGCGCAGGCGGUUAUGUAAGACAGUUGUGAAAUCCCCGGGCUCAACCUGGGAACUGCAUCUGUGACUGCAUAGCUGGAGUACGGUAGAGGGGAUGGAAUUCCGCGUGUAGCAGUGAAAUGCGUAGAUAUGCGGAGGAACACCGAUGGCGAAGGCAAUCCCUGGACCUGUACUGACGCUCAUGCACGAAAGCGUGGGAGCAAACAGG
rnacentral:rRNA from 1 species